rnacentral:rRNA from 1 species
GAUCAUGGCUCAGGACGAACGCUGGCGGCGUGCCUAACACAUGCAAGUCGAACGGACUGAUUUAAGAGCUUGCUCUUGAUGAAAGUUAGUGGCGGACGGGUGAGUAACGCGUGAGUAACCUGCCUUUCAGAGGGGGAUAACAUUCUGAAAAGGAUGCUAAUACCGCAUAACAUCUUAGUAUCGCAUGGUAUUGAGAUCAAAGGAGCAAUCCGCUGGAAGAUGGACUCG